rnacentral:rRNA from 1 species
AGCAGCCGCGGUAAUUCCAGCUCCAAUAGCGUAUAUUAAAGUUGUUGCAGUUAAAAAGCUCGUAGUUGAAUUUCGGGAUUGGCGCAUCGGUCGUGCCUCACGGGGUAUGAACUGGUGCAGUCAAUUUCUCACCUUCUGGAGAACCGCGAUGUCCUUAAUUGGAUGCCGCGGGGAACCAGGACCUUUACUUUGAAAAAUUAGAGUGUUUAAAGCAGGCAUUUUUGCUUGAAUACAUUAGCAUGGAAUAAUAAAAUAGACGGCAUGGUUCUAUUUUGUUGGUUUCUAGGACCACCGUAAUGAUUAAUAGGGAUAUUGGGGGCAUUAGUAUUCAAUUGUCAGAGGUGAAAUUCUUGGAUUUAUUGAAGACUAACUACUGCGAAAGCAUUUGCCAAGGAUGUUUUCAUUAAUCAAGAACGAAAGUUAGGGGAUCGAAGACGAUCAGAUACCGUCGUAGUCUUAACCAUAAACUAUAGCCGACUAGGAAUCAGACGAUGUUAAUUUUUAAUGUACUCGUUUGGUA